UUGUAUAAAUAAAUAAAUACAGAGAAGAAGAUUGAGAGAAGAAGAAGAAGAUGUGCUACGAGGUGAAGUGUUCGACGUGCGGUAAGAGCAGCUGGGCAGGAUGUGGACUCCACGUGGCUUCCGUCUAUAAGAAGAUCCCCGACGGCCAACACUGUCAAUGUAAGACUUGGCCCGGCGUUCAGACCCAAUCCGGCGCCACCGCCACCACCGCCACCACCUCCAAUGAAGACGGUUCCACCGGAAUCUGCACCAUUGCUUGAUUAGUCUCAAUUUGCAGAUUGGAUCAGUCAGUCAUUAUAAAGGAGCAGAAAACCAAAUUUUACAAAAUAAAAAAAAAAAGUCUAUGAAGUGAUUUCAUUUUCCUUAAUUUUCAUUUUAUCAAUUAUUGUUCUAAACUUGUAUUAUUUGAAAAUGUGACAGAAGAGUUGUUGAAAUGCACAUCUUCUUUGUAUUAUAGCCUCUGCGUAACAUUUUAUCAAUUAUUGUUCUAAACUUGUAUUA